rnacentral:rRNA from 1 species
AACCUCCGCAAUGUGAGAAAUCGCGACGGGGGGAUCCCAAGUGCCAUUCUUAACGGGAUGGCUUUUCAUUAGUGUAAAGAGCUUUUGGAAUAAGAGCUGGGCAAGGCCGGUGCCAGCCGCCGCGGUAACACCGGCAGCUCUAGUGGUAACAAUUUUUAUUGGGCCUAAAGCGUCCGUAGCCGGUUUAAUAAGUCUCUGGUGAAAUCCUGUAGCUUAACUGUGGGAAUUGCUGGAGAUACUAUUAGACUUGAGAUCGGGAGAGGUUAGAGGUACUCCCAGGGUAGAGGUGAAAUUCUGUAAUCCUGGGAGGACCGCCUGUUGCGAAGGCGUCUAACUGGAACGAUUCUGACGGUGAGGGACGAAAGUUAGGGGCGCGAACCGGAUUAGAUACCCGGGUAGUCCUAACUGUAAACGAUGCGGACUUGGUGUUGGGGUGGCUUUGAGCUGCUCCAGUGCCGAAGGGAAGCUGUUAAGUCCGCCGCCUGGGAAGUACGGUCGCAAGACUGAAACUUAAAGGAAUU